rnacentral:rRNA from 1 species
AUUGAACGCUAGCGGCAGGCUUAACACAUGCAAGUCGAACGAGUGGCGGACGGGUGAGUAAUGUAUGGGAACCUGCCCGAUAGAGGGGGAUAACUACUGGAAACGGUAGCUAAUACCGCAUACUAUUGGAGCUGCCGAGAUGGGAUUAGCUAGUGGGUGGGGUAAAGGCUCACCUAGGCGACGAUCCCUAGCUGGUCUGAGAGGAUGACCAGCCACACUGGAACUGAGACACGGCCCAGACUCCUACGGGAGGCAGCAGUGGGGAAUAUUGCACAAUGGGCGCAAGCCUGAUGCAGCCAUGCCGCGUGUAUGAAGAAGGCCUUCGGGUUGUAAAGUACUUUCAGCGGGGAGGCGUUACCCGCAGAAGAAGCACCGGCUAACUCCGUGCCAGCAGCCGCGGUAAUUC